UUUUAGAGAGAGAGAAAGGAUAGUUAGAGAGAGAAAGGAGAGGAUCCAACAAGUUGAAGGCCUCAAAUCCCAAGGCUCGUGAAGGAUAAAGUGUAGUACAAGUUCUUGCCGUCGUUCUAAGCUACAAAUCAAACUUUGGAAGUUGAUUUCGUGGUGGAUGCUCACAAAAGAUCAAAGUUGAAAGGGGUGACGAACAUUGUAUUACGCUCAAAGGCUGGAAUUAAGGUAACGAUACACAGGUUGACGACUCAGCUAAUUAGGAGUGCACAUAUCAGCUAUUGGUGAGCCCCACAUUCAUUCGGGGCGUUGUCAGCUAUCCAGUUAUUUCAGUUUAUAGACAGCUCUAUUAUUCAGUACUCUUAGAGGCUUCAUAGACACAGUUCAGAUAGUCAGAUAUUUAUUAUGUUAGCCU